CGCCGCCCCUGAGUGUUCCAGAUUAAACCUUCCUCAUUAACCUCACAUGAUGUAUGGUAAACCUUCCUCACGCGGUGAUACCUGCAUAACCACAGCUUUUCUGCAACUCUGGUUGCCAUGCGCUAACAAACUUUACAUGCAAUGAUUGUGAAAUUUGGUGCUUGCACGAGUGCUGAGACCACUGGCAGUGCUCAGUAGUGACAUUAUCCCUUUGUCAAUGCUAAUUAAUCUAAGAUAAAUAUUUUAUAUGGUUAAAAUACUCAAUCAUUCAUAAACCUUGUUGCAAAUCAUGUCAGCCAUAAUAUGUCACGUGGAGUGACUUUAUAUCUGAUAAAACUCAUCUUCAUUAGUAUUCUUUAUAUAACUGUUCAUCCUAAUUAGUAUUAUUAUAUAAUUGUUCAUCCUAAUUAGUAUUCUUUUGUAUAGUCGUAUUUAAAGCUAUUCAAAAUACUCGUUGUCGUGUUUUAUCAGACAUAAACGCUCGGCUGCGCCUCGCAUUUUAUAUGUGAUAAAACACUCCUACUCGUCUUUUAAAUCUAUAUUUGCAGGGUUUAGUGAUAGCUGGUAUUGCUGAUUAUACAAGACCAGCAGAAAAACUAAGUGUAUCGCAGUCAAUAUCUUUAAUGGCAACUGGUAAGAAGAUUUGUUAUUUAUUUAUCUUUAAAAAAUAGAAUAGCAUGGAAUUCGGCGGGCCACCACAUCUUUGGAUCACCAUUUCCACUAGAAAAGCGUGUGGAUCUGUCCUUUUAUUAUAUUUUUAUUUGGGUGAAAAUUUACAAUGAUAUAUGGCGUAUAUCGAUGUUACCGUUUAAUUCAAAAAAAGGUUCCCUUCGAAAGGUCACCCACCGCAAAAUAAGGUUGACUUUAGAAAUCCUAUAGAAAGCAACCUCCAACUAAAUGUAAGACUUUCUUUAUGAAGUUUUCCAUAGAAAUAAUAGAUAUAGAAUGCGUACUUGCAUGAUCACGAAUCAUGUCUCCACUUUUUCUCAACCGUGCGCUUAUAAAUCCGCCAUAUUAUAUUUAACUAUACAAAGCAUAAACAAAGCUAAAACUAAGUUUUCAUCGUCGAAACGUUUUGUCGUGCUGUCUAAUUUGUAUUUUGAGGAUAGAUUUUGAAAUGUUGAAUUCUUUGAAGGCAGAAAGCAAAUGUAUAACGGCUGCACCAGUUAUUCCAGUUGUGCAGUGUAAACAAGAACGGCGAAAAUCGUGCAGCCUUGCAAAAACAAGUAUAAAUAUAAUUUGCUCAUAAAACAUUUUUUCAUGCUCUGAGCGUCACUGCAUGCAUGUUUUGUUUAUAUCUUAUGAAAUUACAAAAAGAUAGUUCAUUCUUUGUCGGGUUUCGUUUUUCUUCAAACUAAAUCAGUGUUUAAAACAAAAAGUAUUUAUAAUUGUCGAUGAACUGUAGCUAAAUCGCCUAAAUAAUCGUCGACCUAAUUGACAUGUGUAAUUUUGAAAAGAUUAUUGAACUCCAAUCCAUUUAUAUUAUAAGGCAGUUGAAAUAUUUUAGGAAUUUACAUUAGCUAUUGAGUGUGAGUUUGUCUUGAUCGUUUGCGUUUUGUUUUGGCUUGCACAACAACGUUGAAUAUAUUUUUAAACGACGAUUUUCGUAUAUAUUCUGUUCAGAACUAUUGCUUUUCGUAACAAACCCAUUGGAAUAGGUUUUUCAAAAGUUUAUCUCCUUUACAAAACUUUUUUUAUUUUAAGUCUCGAUAUAAAAUCUUUUCUGCAAGCUUUGUUGAAAAAAGAAUGGCACUCCCCGCAACCGCGGGAAAUUCCAAGCCACAGCUUUGCCAACUAGGGCAGGGUCACCACAACAGCAUAUGCCAAUUACUGUGGGCCCACAGAAGUUUGGGACGAGCCAAAAUUCCCUUAUAAAUCCAAUCUCGUACCCAGAGUAUGUCCGUUUGCAGGUUGGCCAUGCCCAGCACCAAUCUGCGAACGGGCAUACUCUCGGCACGAGAUUGUUAUAAAUCCCCCAUUUUGUGGAGACAAAAUUUUUAUUGAGAAAAGAUAGAGUUUUUCACUUCAUAUAUAUAUAUAUAUAUAUAUAUAUAUAUAUAUAUAUAUAUAUAUAUAUAUAUAUAUAUAUAUAUAUAUAUAUAUAUAUAUAUAUAUAUUAACAUUAAUUUCUUUAGGAUUUAUCUGGUCGCGCUAUUCUUUAGUAAUUAUACCACGAAGUUGGAACUUAUUUAGUGUAAACCUUUUCCUUGGCUUAACUGGUUUGAGUCAACUGUAUCGUGUUUGGGAGUA
rnacentral:lncRNA from 1 species